rnacentral:lncRNA from 1 species
CCCCUUUUUUUUUCUCCAGUUUCAAGCCCUGGUGCUCACCUGGCGCUGCGUCCAGUGCUGCGUGCCAGAGAAACCCGUGGGAGCUGGCACAGACCGGACCCAGUGUCACAGCCUGUCAUACAGUGUACCCACUCUAGAAGUUUCUUCACCUUGGGCCUGCAGACCUCAAGAGGUUCCCAGAUUCCCAAAUGGGAAGUCUUCGCUAACUUCUGGUUGACAUUUAACACUGAAUGCAGACCACAGACCACGGUUGGAUUAACAUCACCUUGACUUUGUCAUCAUGAAAACCAC